rnacentral:rRNA from 1 species
UACAGAGGGUGCGAGCGUUGUUCGGAAUUAUUGGGCGUAAAGGGCGCGUAGGCGGCGCCACAAGUCACCUGUGAAAACUCUGGGCUCAACCCAGAGCCUGCAGGCGAAACUGUGGUGCUGGAGUAUGGGAGAGGUGCGUGGAAUUCCCGGUGUAGCGGUGAAAUGCGCAGAUAUCGGGAAGAACACCCGUGGCGAAGGCGGCUCUCUGGGACGGUACUGACGCUGAGACGCGAAAGCUAGGGGAGCAAACAGG